CAAGUGAAGGGUUUGAUCCUGGCUCAGAAUGAACGUUGGCGGCGUGGAUUAGGCAUGCGAGUCGCGCGAUAAUGUAGCAAUACAGGACAGCGGCGAAAGGGAGAGGACAACAUAGGAAUCUGCC
rnacentral:rRNA from 1 species